rnacentral:rRNA from 1 species
AUUGAACGCUGGCGGCAGGCCUAACACAUGCAAGUCGAGCGGAUGAAGAGAGCUUGCUCUCUGAUUUAGCGGCGGACGGGUGAGUAAUGCCUAGGAAUCUGCCUGGUAGUGGGGGAUAACGUUCCGAAAGGAACGCUAAUACCGCGUACGUCCUACGGGAGAAAGCAGGGGACCUUCGGGCCUUGCGCUAUCAGAUGAGCCUAGGUCGGAUUAGCUAGUUGGUGAGGUAAUGGCUCACCAAGGCGACGAUCCGUAACUGGUCUGAGAGGAUGAUCAGUCACACUGGAACUGAGACACGGUCCAGACUCCUACGGGAGGCAGCAGUGGGGAAUAUUGGACAAUGGGCGAAAGCCUGAUCCAGCCAUGCCGCGUGUGUGAAGAAGGUCUUCGGAUUGUAAAGCACUUUAAGUUGGGAGGAAGGGCAGUAAGUUAAUACCUUGCUGUUUUGACGUUACCGACAGAAUAAGCACCGGCUAACUCUGUGCCAGCCGCCGCCGUAAAAC